rnacentral:tRNA from 1 species
GCGGGUGUGGUGGAAUUGGUAGACGCGGUAGACUCAAAAUCUACUGGCCGCAAGGCCGUGGGGGUUCAAGUCCCUCCACCCGCACCA